GACGAACGCUGGCGGCGUGCUUAACACAUGCAAGUCGAACGGUAAGGCCCUUUCGGGGGUACACGAGUGGCGAACGGGUGAGUAACACGUGGGUGAUCUGCCCUGCACUUUGGGAUAAGCCUGGGAAACUGGGUCUAAUACCGGAUAGGACUACGCGAUGCAUGUCGUGUGGUGGAAAGCUUUUGUGGUGUGGGAUGGGCCCGCGGCCUAUCAGCUUGUUGGUGGGGUGAUGGCUUACCAAGGCGACGACGGGUAGCCGGCCUGAGAGGGUGUCCGGCCACACUGGGACUGAGGUACGGCCCAGACUCCUACGGGAGGCAGCAGUGGGGAAUAUUGCACAAUGGGCGCAAGCCUGAUGCAGCGACGCCGCGUGGGGGAUGACGGCCUUCGGGUGGUAAACCCCUUUCAGCACAGACGAAGCGUAAGUGACGGUAUGUGCAGAAGAAGCACCGGCCAACUACGU
rnacentral:rRNA from 1 species